AGAAACUUAGGAUUAAACCUAAAACCGGAGGCCUUCAAAGCCUCAAAUAUGAGACACAAAUCUCUUAGUUUCUG
rnacentral:tRNA from 1 species